rnacentral:rRNA from 1 species
UACGUAGGGGGCAAGCGUUGUCCGGAUUUAUUGGGCGUAAAGAGCGUGUAGGCGGCCUGAAAGGUCAGCUGUGAAAACUCGAGGCUUAACCUCGAGACGUCGGUUGAAACCAUCUGGCUAGAGUCCGGAAGAGGAGAGCGGAAUUCCUGGUGUAGCGGUGGAAUGCGCAGAUAUCAGGAAGAACACCCGUGGCGAAGGCGGCUCUCUGGGACGGUACUGACGCUGAGACGCGAAAGCGUGGGGAGCGAACAGG